rnacentral:rRNA from 1 species
AGGACGAACGCUGGCGGCGUGCUUAACACAUGCAAGUCGAGCGGAAAGGCCCUUCGGGUACUCGAGCGGCGAACGGGUGAGUAACACGUGAGUAAUCUGCCCCUAGCUCUGGGAUAGCUCCGGGAAACCGGGAUUAAUACUGGAUACGACCACCUUAGACAUCUUUUGUGGUGGAAAGAAUUUCGGCUAGGGAUGAGCUCGCGGCCUAUCAGCUUGUUGGUGGGGUAACGGCCUACCAAGGCGACGACGGGUAGCCGGCCUGAGAGGGCGACCGGCCACACUGGGACUGAGACACGGCCCAGACUCCUACGGGAGGCAGCAGUCGAGAAUUUUUCUCAAUGGGGGAAACCCUGAAGGAGCGACGCCGCGUGGAGGAUGAAGGUCUUCGGGUUGUAAACUCCUGUCAUUUGGGAACAAUGCGCAAAUAUUAACUGUAUUUGCGUUGAUAGUACCAGAAGAGGAAGGGACGGCUAACUCUGCGCCAGCAGCCGCGGUAA